UACAGAGGGGCAAGCGUUGUUCGGAAUUACUGGGCGUAAAGGGCGCGUAGGCGGCCUGUUAAGUCGAACGUGAAAUCCCCGGGCUCAACCCGGGAACUGCGUCCGAUACUGGCAGGCUUGAAUCCGGGAGAGGGAUGCGGAAUUCCAGGUGUAGCGGUGAAAUGCGUAGAUAUCUGGAGGAAUACCGGUGCGAAGGCGGCAUCCUGGACCGACAUGACGCUGAGGAGCGAAAGCUAGGGGAGCAACGGG
rnacentral:rRNA from 1 species